rnacentral:rRNA from 1 species
GAGUGUAAAGGCAUAUGGGAGCUUAACUGCGAGACUUACAGGUCAAGCAGAUGCGAAAGCAGGGCUUAGUGAUCUUGUGGCUCCGUGUGGAAGGGCCAUGACUAAACGGAUAAAAGUUACCCCGGGGAUAACAGGCUUAUCGCGCCCGAGCGUCCACAGCGACGGCGCGGUUUGGCACCUCGAUGUCGGCUCGUCGCAUCCUGGGGCUGAAGCAGGUCCCAAGGGUUGGGCUGUUCGCCCAUUAAAGCGGCACGCGAGCUGGGUUUAGAACGUCGUGAGACAGUUCGGUCCUUAUCCGUCGUGGGCGUAGGAGACUUGAGAGAAGCUGUCCCUAGUAUGAGAAGACCGGGAUGGACCAACCUCUAGUGUUCCAGUUGUCCCGCCAGGGGCACCGCUGGGUAGCUAUGUUGGGCAGGGAUAAGCGCUGAAAGCAUCUAAGUGCGAAGCCCCCCUCAAGAUUAGGUCUCCCGUGGUUUACCACUAAGGUCACUGGAAGACUACCAGUUUGAUAGGCCGCAGGUGUAAGCACGGCGACGUGUUCAGCCGAGCGGUACUAAUUGACCGAGAGACUUGA